AGGACUAUAUUUAAUUAUAAUAUUUGAUUUGCAAUCAAAAAGUACCUAAUAAAGGUUAGUCUUA
rnacentral:tRNA from 1 species